rnacentral:rRNA from 1 species
CUACGGGCUGCUGCAGUCGAGAAUCUUCCCCAAUGGCCGCAAGGCCGAGGGAGCGACGCCGCGUGAGGGAUGUAGAUCUUCGGAUUGUAAACCUCUGUCACCCCGGAUGAACACUGACAGUACGGGGAGAGGAAGCGCCGGCUAACUCCGUGCCAGCAGCCGCGGUAAUACGGAGGGCGCAAGCGUUGUUCGGAAUCACUGGGCGGAAAGGGUGUGUAGGUGGGUAUGUAAGCCCUAAGUGAAAUCCUCCGGCUCAACCGGAGAACUGCUUGGGGAACUGCAUAUCUUGAGUACAGGAGAAGAGAGUGGAAUUCUCGGUGUAGCGGUGAAAUGCGUAGAUAUCGAGAAGAACACCAGCGGUGAAAGCGACUCUCUAUCCUGACACUGACACUGAAACACGAAAGCUAGGGGAGCAAAUGGGAUUAGAUACCCUGGUAGUC